rnacentral:rRNA from 1 species
UUGUUAAAAAGCUCGUAGUUGGAUCAAGAGUUGGACAGUGCACGGUGGCCCUAUUUGUCUGUUUGGCUCCGGUCAGAUAGGCGGUAGCGGAACAACCCCGUGCGCCAAGCUGUCCACUCUAACAGACCGAAACGGUUCCCUGUGAGUAGGUUCCUUAAUUGGGACUGAAAGCGCCUACGCAUCAACCAUAUGCAUACGGGACGUCGGUCAAUGUUACUGUGAACAAACCAGCGUGUCCAAAGCAGGCUACCGCCUGAAUGUUCGAGCAUGGAAUAACAAGGGAUCGAUUCUCUCGGUUCUUUUUGUUGGUUUUUAACCCGAGAAGGAGUAAUUCAGGCCACGGUGUCUGAGUUGGGUUUCCCUGGGCUUCGGCUUAGGCCCCAAUUAGGCCGUGUCCUUACGGGAUCAAUAGGGACUGACGGGGUCGUACCUACUUCCGCGUCAGAGGUGAAAUUCUUAGAUCGCGGGAAGGGGAACUUCUGCGAAAGCAUUCGACAAGAAUGUCUUCAUUAAUCAAGAACGAGAGUGUGGGGAUCGAAGAUGAUCAGAUACCGUCGUAGUCCACUACUGUAAACUAUGCCGUCUCAGGAUUGAGAAGUGAACAGAAUGACUUUCACAGCACUA